GAUGAACGCUGGCGGCGUGCCUAAUACAUGCAAGUCGAGCGAACAGUUGAGGAGCUUGCUCCUCUGACGUUAGCGGCGGACGGGUGAGUAACACGUGGAUAACCUACCUAUAAGACUGGGAUAACUUCGGGAAACCGGAGCUAAUACCGGAUAAUAUAUUGAACCGCAUGGUUCAAUAGUGAAAGACGGUUUUGCUGGCACUUAUAGAUGGAUCCGCGCCGCAUUAGCGAGUUGGUAAGGUAACGGCUUACCAAGGCAACGAUGCGUAGCCGACCUGAGAGGGUGAUCGGCCACACUGGAACGGAGACACCGUCCAGACGCCUACGGGAGGCAGCAGUAGGGAAUCUUCCGCAAUGGGCGAAAGCCUGACGGAGCAACGCCGCGUGAGUUAUGAAGGUCUUCGGAUCGUAAAACUCUGUUAUUAGGGAAGAACAAAUGUGUAAGUAACUAUGCACGUCUUGACGGUACCUAAUCAGAAAGCCACGGCUAACUACGUG
rnacentral:rRNA from 1 species